rnacentral:rRNA from 1 species
CCCUUAGGUGUUCUGGGCCGCACGCGCGCUACACUGAUACAUGCAACGAGUUUAUAACCUUGAUCUGACGGUCUGGGUAAUCUUCAAACUGUAUCGUGUUAGGGAUCGAUUCUUGCAAUUUUUAAUCGUAAACGAGGAAUUCCUAGUAAACGCAAGUCAUCAGCUUGCAUUGAUUACGUCCCUGCCCUUUGUACACACCGCCCGUCGACUCUACCGAUUGAAUGGUUCGGUGAAAACUUUGGACUGUGGCAUUGUCCUUCAUUGGACUUCGCCGUAGGAAAUUGUUUAAACCUCAUCAUUUAGAGGAAGAAUAAGUCGUAACA